rnacentral:rRNA from 1 species
AGUGAACGCUGGCGGUAGGCCUAACACAUGCAAGUCGAACGGCAGCACAGUAAGAGCUUGCUCUUACGGGUGGCGAGUGGCGGACGGGUGAGGAAUACAUCGGAAUCUACUUUUUCGUGGGGGAUAACGUAGGGAAACUUACGCUAAUACCGCAUACGACCUACGGGUGAAAGCAGGGGAUCUUCGGACCUUGCGCGAUUGAAUGAGCCGAUGUCGGAUUAGCUAGUUGGCGGGGUAAAGGCCCACCAAGGCGACGAUCCGUAGCUGGUCUGAGAGGAUGAUCAGCCACUCUGGAACUGAGACACGGUCCAGACUCCUACGGGAGGCAGCAGUGGGGAAUAUUGGACAAUGGGCGCAAGCCUGAUCCAGCCAUACCGCGUGGGUGAAGAAGGCCUUCGGGUUGUAAAGCCCUUUUGUUGGGAAAGAAAAGCAGCAGGUUAAUACCCCGCUGUUCUGACGUUACCCAAAGAAUAAGCACCGGCUAACUUCGUG